GGGUAUUUUGGCAGAAAUCCCCGAAUGUCUUCUUCUCAAACACAAUCCCCUCCCACCGACGUAGCCCGCAGACAACAGACCGGCACUGCCGUGCGAUCCGAAGACAACCAUCGCAAUCAGUUGGAAAACAUUGCUGUUGGAAAACUCACCAAAUCUGAAGGAGCACCCGCCCAACAGAACGUGAUCAUUGCAAAAGAGGUGGUUAUCAAUAACCACUUCAAUUUCAACUGAGCUGGAGUGUGUGUGUGUAGAAUCGUCCUGGCCUCAGUGGUUAAGGAAUUUAAUCUUGGGGAUUUUGAUCUCCUCGAUUCUGUUCAUCUUGACGAAAACACAGGACACCGUUGCCGUUUAUCACGAGCCAUCGGUGUACUCGAUCGAUCAAACGCAAAAAUUCCAAAAGAUCGACAUACACAAUGGCGGCAAGUAGCCGGUCUACCCGAGGUAGAAAGCAGCGCGGACGUAGCGUGGAAGCAAAAUCCAGAGCUAUUCGAGCCAACCCGCCUGUCCCUCGACCCAACCCGCAGCGAAACCGUCCCCCACCUGCGGGAACAACCUGCUCCAUGUCCGAAAUUCUGCUUGCAGUGUCAGCAACAACUGCUGACCAAAUUCUCGAGAUUCCAGUGUGCGCAGGGAUUGACUUCCCAGCUGGAACGCCACCCCGAUAUAUUGGGGCGGCUAAAUGGCUGGCAGCACAAUCACAGAUGUGGAACACAAUUGUGUUCAACUCUGUGCGCAUCACUUGGGAAACAUUCACAGCAGACACCACUAGCGGAUACAUCUCCAUGGCAUUCCUCUCUGAUUACAUGUUAUCAAUACCCACUGGGGUGGAGGAUGUUGCCAGGAUCGUGCCCUCAGCUACAAUAGCUCUGAAAAACAGAGGGCCGUCCAUUGUUAUGCCACAAAACCGCACUGUGUUCAGGUGUAUACAGGCUGGUCAGUUUGCUGCGUUGGGCAGCGCGGCUGACAAGCAAAUGUAUUCCCCCGGACGAUUCAUUGUGGCUAUCCCCAAAGCUAGUGCAACACAAGCGGUAGGUCAAAUCAAAAUCUCGUAUUCCGUUUCCUACCGUGGAGCAGCGAUCCUACAACCUGCCCUGGUUCCAGGCCCAGGGCUGGCAAAUCAUUGAGCAUAAGGUGAGCCGGCAUGAGGUUGCAAGACCGGAACAACCAGUCCUUCUGGCAGAGUCCUGCCAAUCCAAAGUGUCUGGGAGCCUAAAUCGUAUACUAGUAGUUUGCGUGAUGACCAUGACUGGAGAGUGGGCGGCGGCUGCCAACCGCAGACUGGGCGUAUAUAGUAAGCCUUGACCCACCCAUGGAAAACACGUAUUUACGAACGGUACGACAUGGUAACUGGAUACACUUAACCCUGGGGCAAGUAGAUGUUAGGAAACUAGCAUCGGGCCGCCCACGAGGGUUUCUGAACUCAACGGAGUAGAACGGGGGGGGGUAAUGCCCCUCUCUUCCGGCCC
rnacentral:misc_RNA from 1 species